UACGUAGGGUGCGAGCGUUAAUCGGAAUUACUGGGCGUAAAGCGUGCGCAGGCGGUUCGUUAUGUCCGAUGUGAAAGCCCCGAGCUCAACUUGGGAAUGGCAUUGGAAACUGGCGGGCUGGAGUGUGGCAGAGGGGGGUGGAAUUCCACGUGUAGCAGUGAAAUGCGUAGAGAUGUGGAGGAACACCGAUGGCGAAGGCGGCGACCUGGGUAGAUACUGACGCUGAGGUGCGAAAGCGUGGGGAGCAAACAGG
rnacentral:rRNA from 1 species